UUCAAAUGAAUAGGUCCAUCUAUUGCCCAAUGAGGCCAUGAAUUGGGCCAUUUUCUGCCCUUCUAUUAGUUCAGAGCUUGUAAGAAAUACUCAUAUUUCCUCUUGAGGUAUAGGAAAAUUGUUAAGGCAUGUUUGGUUUGCUAUUGCGAACCUUUGACAAUGUAAAAAUCCAAACAUGCCUAACAGCACAUAACAAUUGAUUUGCAGCAUAUAGAUAUCCUUCUAUUCCAAAAUUUGAUAGCUCUAGAAACCUCCACUGAACAAUGCAUAACGUUCAGCAGAGCAAAGCCGCCAAAGCAGCAUACAUGAGAACCUCCACUUGACUGUAUCUGAUCUCAGGCCUCUCUUCUUGACAAGCUGUGCUAGUGGUCUUAGGAGGCCUAAUGAUUUCAUAUGAUAUCUUGAAGGUUUCGAUACUUGACUGACCAUCGAACUGCCUGGCGCGCUUCUAAUAACAUCCAGCAUCUCUUUCUCCAUCCUAUAACUUCUCCAUCAGCUCUGUUGUCAACAAGUUUCAGAUUCUGGAGAUGUGUGAGAUUCUCCAAGCCUUUUUUUGACGGAAGAAGGUAGAGCGUGCUCCACCUUAUAAUCAUUUCAUUAAUAGAAAUGAGGUUUCCAAGUUACAAGUUACUAGAGGUUAUAGUUAACCUAGAACAGAAGGAAAAAAGAAGAAAAGGAAGAAGAGAAGAGACAAAAAUAAAAAGAAAAGAGAAAGGGUGGUGGAUUUACAAAGAUAUAAACAAGGGUUCUUGUGGUGAUAGUUAACUGAUUCUCCAAGCCUUGUGGUGAAUCAGUUAGCUGGGUGCACCGGCCAGGCACCAGUUCAUGUAGCCCUACAAGGCAUCCUAUCUAAAACUCCAUCUGACUAAGCCUAUCUACUAGUAUCGCCGGGGAUUCCAACGAGAUAGUGGUAGGAUGUAUGGAAGCUUGGCUCCGGUGGAUCUCAAUGGAUUGAAGGCUAGAUCUUGGCUAGGCUUCAUGGGUGUCAUGGCUUGAAUCGAUUGUUGUUCUGUUGGGUUCUUUCUCCAGCCCUCUUUUGGGGCUAGGCCUUUAUACCCUUAGGCCCUCUCGUAUCAUAGGACUCAGUGAUAUACUAGGUAGUCUUCGACUCAAUUUUGAUCGAGUCUGAGUAGAUCUCCCGUAGUUUUCCUUAAAUAGGUCUUGCGUAGUUUUCUAUAAAAAUAUUUGUGUUAAGUCUUACAGGUAUGUCAUAUUUUCAACACCGACAAUAGUCACUUUAAGAAAAAGAAUAACGGUUAAUUUACGGAAUGGGUAUGAAGGGGCUCAAAAUGGAACAUGGCAAUAUAGAAGAUUAGAUAAAACUUAGGACUAUGAAAGAAGGUGACAUCAUGUGAAUGUUUGUGACAGCAUUGGGCGCGACCUGUGAGGUUGGGAAGAGAGGAGAGAAGAGGGGAAGAGGAGGAUGAAGGAAGGAGGGAAAUUUGGUCCAAAUCUUUUUGCAAAUUUAUCCAAGGGGUAAGUAGUGUCAUAUUCCAACACCGACCAAAUUGUAACAAUGGUUUACAAAUACAUGAAUUAUAAUCGCAUAUUUUGAAAUAGGCAAAUUUGUAAUGGCAUACAUCCAAAUAUCCAAGUAACCCUCUGAAACAAACACCUAGCGCCAACAAGCAGGCACACUAAUGUGUGGGGACGUUGGGGGAAUCAACGACAUCAAGCUGCUCAGGCCUGACUCGGUCCUCCAGUUGGCAAGCAGAGGGGGCAAGGAGAGCACCGGCGCUAUGGUGGAGACAAAGAGAGGUGGCUAGUGGCAGCGAAGUAGAUGGCAGUGGCGGGGCGGGCGUAUGGUGCAAUGGCGACUUGAUGGAAUCUAGCGAGGGCAUGAUGUCCUAGAAGUAGAUCGAGGCCGUGCAAUCCAAUGAUGAAGGUGCUCGGUUUGGCUCAGAACAUGAUGGUGACAGGCAAACAACAGUACACAAGAACAAAACCGCGUUCCCGGUGAACCGCUGCAUGAAUCAUCAACAUUGUGGAGGGUAAAGAGCAUGAACCAACGGAGCACGUUGUGACAUGGUAGGUUUUGCGAGAAACUCACCGUAGAGAGGGAUCGACGAGGAUGGAACUCGGGAUGGCAUGAAUGGUGGCCGCAAUAGAUUUUAGCGUUCCCGAACGUGGGAGGAUGAGAAAUAUGGCGAGAGGAGGUACCGACGGUGUCCUCGAGGAUGAGGUCCUCUUAGUCCACCCACUCCCUCUCCGGCCCCUUCCGCCGGCACCUCAUCCAAAAGCACAGUCAAACG
rnacentral:lncRNA from 1 species